CAGGCAUUCAUUGAUUUAACAAAUAUUUAGUGGAUAUUCUACUAAAUAUUACUAAAUAUUUACUGUUCUUCACCUCUCAUAGUUUUAGGCACUGGUGAUAGAGCAGUGAACAAAGCAGUUUCUGCCCUCAUGGAGCUUACAUCCUAAUGAGAGAGCCUGAUAACAAGCAAGUAGCUGAAAUACAACAUCAUAAUUUUUACUGGAAAAUAGCCACAAUGAAGGAACACCACAAUUUCACCAUGAAAACCAGCACAACCUUACACAGAUGACAAACAUUUCCCCUCAAAACUUGUUAAACUGUAUUUGGGCUGACCAAAUUAACCAGAGUUAUUCUAUUUAUGGGGGAGCAGGAAGUAACUUGAUAAAAUGCUUUGAGUUUAUAUAUCAUGUCAAAUAAAUAGCAUAAUUUUAAAGGAAAAAAACUUGUUAGGCAAUGUUCUCUUAUUUUCUGACAUCACAUAUUGUGACAGAAUGUAAGGCCAACCUGGUUUUUACAAAUUCCGUGGUCUAAUUUUUUUGUUGUUGUUAGUGUAUAAAAAUAGCA
rnacentral:lncRNA from 1 species